GGAUGUGAGGGUGAUCUGGCUGCGAUCGCCCUCACAUCCCAUUUCUGUCACCCCAUUGAUUGCCAGGGUUGAUGUGGCUGAUGUGGCUGGCUAGGCGGGUGUCCCCUUCCUCCCUCACUGCUCCAUGUGUGUCCUUCCCGAAGCUGCGCACUCGGUGGAAGAGGAUGACCAUCCCCGAUAGAGGAGGACUGGUCUUCGGUCAAGGGUAUAUGAGUAGCUGUACUCCCCGACUAGAACCUCCAAACAAGCUCUCCAGGUCCAUACAACAAAGUGAAAUAAGUGAAUGAAUAAAUUUAUAUUAUAAAAUUGCUAUCUGAUUUUG
rnacentral:snRNA from 1 species